rnacentral:rRNA from 1 species
GACGAACGCUGGCGGCGUGCUUAACACAUGCAAGUCGAACGGUAAGGCCCUUCGGGGUACACGAGUGGCGAACGGGCGAGGAACACGUGGGUGAUCUGCCCUGCACUUCGGGAUAAGCCUGGGAAACUGGGUCUAAUACCGGAUAGGACUCCUGGCUUCCUGGUUGGGGGUGGAAAGCUUUUGCGGUGUGGGAUGGGCCCGCGGCCUAUCAGCUUGUUGGUGGGGUAAUGGCCUACCAAGGCGACGACGGGUAGCCGGCCUGAGAGGGUGACCGGCCACACUGGGACUGAGAUACGGCCCAGACUCCUACGGGAGGCAGCAGUGGGGAAUAUUGCACAAUGGGCGCAAGCCUGAUGCAGCGACGCCGCGUGAGGGAUGACGGCCUUCGGGUUGUAAACCUCUUUCAGCACCGACGAAGCGCAAGUGACGGUAGGUGCAGAAGAAGGACCGGCCAACUACGUGCCAGCCGCCGCCGUAA